rnacentral:rRNA from 1 species
UACGUAGGGGGCAAGCGUUGUCCGGAUUUAUUGGGCGUAAAGAGCGUGUAGGCGGCCAUUCAGGUCAGCUGUGAAAACUCGAGGCUCAACCUCGAGACGUCGGUUGAAACCGUUUGGCUAGAGUCCGGAAGAGGAGAGUGGAAUUCCCGGUGUAGCGGUGAAAUGCGCAGAUAUCGGGAAGAACACCCGUGGCGAAGGCGGCCCUCUGGGACGGUACUGACGCUGAGACGCGAAAGCGUGGGGAGCGAACAGG